rnacentral:ncRNA from 1 species
AAGUUAUUUUAUUUUGGUUAAAAUUUUUAUUAUUAUUUUAUUUUACAUGUAAAUUUUUGUGUGAAUUAGUUUAAUUUUUAAAAAAUUGAAUUUAUUUAUUUAUUCACAGUAAUUAAUAUUAAUUUAAAAAGAAAUUUUGUAUUAGUAAUAAUAUAUAGUAUUGGUAAAAUUUGUGCCAGCUACCGCGGUUAUACAAAUAAUGCAAGUAAAAAUUUUUAGUAUUAGUUAAAUUAAAAAUUAUUUAAUAAUAUAAAUAUAAAUUUAUUAGGUAAAAUUUUUAAAUUUAUUUAUUUAUUAUUCUUAAAAAUAAUUUAAGCUAUAAACUUUUUAUAAUAAACUAGGAUUAGAUACCCUAUUAUUAAAAAUAAAUAUUUAAAAUACUAAAGUAGUAUUAGUUAUGUUCUUAAAAUUUAAAAAAUUUGGCGGUGUUUUAGUCUAUUUAGAGGAAUCUGUCCUGUAAUUGAUAAUCCACAUUGAACCUUACUUAAAUUUGUUUAAUUUGUAUAUCGCCGUCAUCAGAAUAUAUUAUUAGAUAAAAAUUUUCUUAAUAUUUAAUUAAAUAAAAUGUCAGGUCAAGGUGCAGUUUAUGUUUAAGUAGAGAUGGAUUACAAUAAAUAUAUUUAAAUGAAUAAAUUUUUGAAAUAAAAUUUUGAAAGUGGAUUUAAUAGUAAUAUAAAAUAGAUUAUUUGUAUGAUUUUAGCUCUAAAACAUGUACAUAUCGCCCAUCGUUCUUAUUUUUAAAAUAAGAUAAGUUGUAACAUAGUAGAUGUACUGGAAAGUGUAUCUAGAAAGAC